rnacentral:lncRNA from 1 species
UUUUGACAUUACGUGUCACAUACAUAAUCUGUGAGUACAUCCUUGAAACACCUUUGAUAUGGAAGAAGUUGAUGUUGGAUCCAUAUCUGCCAAAAUCAUUGUUGGUUUCUUCUUAUGUGAUGCAAAAAGCUUCUAAUAACCAAGAGUAUGAUUCAAUUAUUUUAUCUGAUAUUAGUCUUGCUCUAACAUUGAUUGUCCUUUCAUGGUUGUUAAUAGCAGUGAAAGGAACAAAUAUCAUAUUAUACCUGAAAAUAUUUAUAAAUAUAUCAAUAAUGUAAUGUAAUAAGUAUAUUUUUACAUGUUUGUUCUAUAUGUUGCAUCCAUUGAAAUAACAUCUAAAAACUUAGAGUAGUUUUCUUUUCCUGUUUCAUCAACCCAAAACAUAGCACUUAGUUCCUCAUCAUUCAACUUAUAUUCAAAAUGGAAAUUUUGAUAAUUAUCUCUACAAAUAAUCAACUGGUCUACAACACAUUAAGCAUCAUUUGGUCCAACAGUAUUGGUAUAAUCUCUCCAAAAAAUUUUGAAAUCAUUCUUUGUUGCUGGCAAAUUAUCAUAUCCUCCUUUUAAUGAUGCCCGUAUCUUAUGUGCUUUAGUGGCACCAAUGUUGAUAGUUGAAGCUUUAACAAUAAGUUCCUGAUCAGAAAUACUAAGUCGAUGAUUAGGAGAACAGAUGCUUUCUUCAUUAAAUUCAGUAAGUGGAUGGUUGUGUGCUUCUUCAAAUGCAUAUACAGUGAUAGUAUUUGUUGCAUAAUUUAUGUCAAAACCAAUCAUAGUCAUACAUCCUGUGACUUUAGAAUAUGAUUUUCUUUCUUGUUUUUUUCAGUUUUUUGGAUGUAAGAGUAUCAAUGGAUUUUUUCCUUGGUUGUCCAUAUCUGUUGCAUCUUACAUGUUUUUUUCUUAGACUGAAGUCACCAUAUGAUGUUGUUCCUAAUCUAAUUCCAAAACCAACAACUUUUGCAUAAUUUUUAUACAUUUCAAUUCUUUCAUCUACACUUGACACAGUUUGUCCUUUUUUAGGAAUCAAAUCUGUUGGAACAUUUGAAAUAUACAAAUCUUCUUGAUUUAUGUAAGAUGUUCCUGUCAAAUAUUCAAAAAGUUUAAUAUUGAAGUAAGUGUAUAUAUAAAUAUAUCUAUUUAAUAUAAAGUAUUAAAACCUACCUUUAUGAUUUUCCUUUAUUGUUGAACUUGAAGUUCCACUUGAAGAUUGAAUGAAAGAUUCAGUUGCUUCAUUAAAAGAAAUAUUAGUAAUUUAAAAUAUAACGUAGUAAUCUAUUUCAAAUGUAAAUAUUGAAUUUUAACAUUAGAAAAUUAGUAAUUAUAAUCAUUGAAAAAUUGCAUUUAUCACCAUCGUUUAAUGUUGAUUCUAAAGAUCCAAUAGUUAAAUCAUUGAAAGAUUCAUUUUCUUCAUGAUUUAAAUCAGAAGAACAAAUAUGUUCAAAUCCUUUAGUAGAUGAUUUCGUCGAUCAUUAAGAGAAUGAAGAAGUUAAUGUUAAUUUAAUACUACAAUUUAUGUUUACGAUUAUUAAUAUGAAGAAGUGAUUCAAUUCCGUUUAUAUGUGAAUUACUUUAUUCAGUUGAUUUAAUACUACAGUUUAUGUUUACGGUUAUUAAUAGUGGUGUGUAUUUUGUUAGAAUGAAAAGGGUUAAGUUGGGGAUUCUUUUUCAUAUCAAAAUGCAAACACGUGUUUAUUCUAUAAGAAUAUAAAUAUUACAUAACACAUGUAUUGCUAGUAAUUCUGACAGAAUACAUUUAUACAUGUUGUAGAAUGUUUACGCAUAUAAAAGAAAAGACUAUGAUUUAAGUGCAUUAUGUAAUGUACUCUCUUAGAAUUUAUUUAUAUAAAUGCAUUCUGUUAGAAUUUAUAGUUUUAUUCUCUUAGAAUGCAUUGAAUUUUUAAUACAUUAUGUCAAAAUUUAUAGUUUUAUUCUCUUAGAAUGCACUGAAUUUUUUAGUUUUUGAAACUUGAUUAUGUUUUCUUUGUGGAUUUAGGUUUUGAAAAGGCUAACAUUGAUGUUGAGAAGAAAAAAAACAUAAAGAACUAAAGUGUAUUAUACCAGAAUAUGUUAUGUUACAAUGUAUAAAGUAUUGCUUAAAAAUAAUAUUUUCUCAGAAUAGAUUAAUAUUCUCUCAAAAAUAAUAUCACAAUCAUACAAUGUAAUUAUUUGGUAUAUUAUUAGUUCAAGAAUUGAUUUUGUGUAGUCUUUUCAGAAUGAAUUUUACUAGUUUAUGGUUAGCAUUCUGUCAUUCUGACAGAAUAAAAUCGAAAAAUAUAUUUAUUGGUUUAUGGUUAACAUUCUAUCAUUCUGACAUAAUAAAAUCGGAUUUUUAAUUUUGAAUUAACUUAAAAUAUUUAGAUUUUAAAAAAUAAAGGAAUUAAUUAUCCCUAAAAUUUCAAAAAUUUAUUUUUUAAUAUAGGUUAAUUGACUAAAAUGCCCUUAUGCUGAAAUUUGUGUGAUUAUAUGGUACAUGUUAUCAUAUUCUACUACCCUCAAAUCAUGACCUUUGAUUAUAUUCCAUCCAAUGGUCCAGAUCUGUUCAUUCUGACACAUAAUAGUUACUAAAAACAAAAUAACCUAACCCUAUAUAUAUAUAUAUAUAUNNNNNNNNNNNNNNNNNNNNNNNNNNNNUGUGUGUGUAUAAAGAUACUUAAGAUCAAUCACCAAUUUCAAAAGAAAAAUGUUCCAAAACAAAACAAGAUAAAGGUAUGAAUAAACAUUUCCAUUCACAUAUGAUUAGCUUUUGAUUAGGGAUGGCAAUGGGUACGGGUAUAUCGGGUUUCAUGUUCCCCAUCCUCAUCCCCGAAUCCCCAUACCCGACCCCAUCCCCAUCGGGGAUUAAAAAUCUAUCCUCAUCCCCAUCCCCAAUGGGUAUCGGGGAUCCCCAAUGGGUAAUCGGGGAUUUUUCCCCGUUAUNCACUUUAACCCUCGAAAGUCUAAAUUAUAUCAUUUGGCUCCCCGAAACCACUCUUCGCUAAAUAUUAUUGGUUUUAGGGCCAUUAUAAAUUAAUAUCAAUUAUAAAUUUACCUUUUGGGGUUAUUAUUUAAUUACUCUAUUUCAAACAGGAUGUUACAAAAAGUCUUCCCAAAACUAUACGUUUGAUUGUUAAAAAUUAUAUAUCGGGUACCCAUUGGGGCCGAUUUCGGGUACGGGUAUGGGUACCCGACAGGUAAAACCAUCCUCAUCCCCAUCCCCGAUUUUUAUAUUCGGGUAAUACCCAUCCACGUCCCCAUCCCCGGUCAACUCGGGUUAGGGUUUCGGGUACCCAUUGGGUACGGGUUUUUUUGCCAUCUCUACUUUUGAUAUGUUUUGUUUAGUAGUAAAUACAAACAAAACUAAACCAUAUAUAUUUAUUCAGAUAUGAAUAUAAGAAUUUAAUAGUUUUUUCAAUAUCAAACAUAUCCAGAUUGAAGUAUUCAUAUGUUAAUAGAACAAAAUUAUAACAAAGAUAUACAAGUUAUUCAUAAAUGAAUAUAACAAAUAUGAUAGGAGUUUUAUACCUUUGUCAUUUUUCUGCAUGGAACGUGUUUCUCUCAUUGUUGGUUGGUCUUUAUCAGAAAUAUCAAUCUUCUUACCUUCAUUCAUUAAUUAAUAGAAACUAAAUGAAUUUGAUAUAUAUUUUACAAAAAAAUUAUUUUAUAUUCAUAAAUUAAUAAAUAAAUAGAACAUAUGUAUUCAUAUCUUCUAUUCACAUAUGAAUAUAUAUGUUAUCUUCGUAUGUAAAUAGAACAUAUAUAACUCGGUUUUGUUAUAUUCAUAUUUGAAUAAUGUCUAUAUCCCACCAAAUUAUGUUCUAUUCAUAUGUGAAUAGAACAUAUAUAACUUAAUUUUUUUUGUGUUUUCCUUAUUAUCUUGGGUAAUUGGAUAUGUGAUCCUAGACAUAUUUUAUUGCAUACUAGUGAAACGUAUGUUAUGUGUUGUUGUUUCUUUAUUAUUUUGGGUGCUUGGGUGUGUGAUCACUAGACAUAUUAUAUUGCUUAAUGAAUUUUUCUAUUCUUAUUUGAAUAAUGUAUAUCACACAAAAUUAUAUUCUAUUUAUAUGUGAAUACAACAUAUAUAACUUAGUUUUGUUUUUGUUCAGAAGUAAACAAAACAUAUCACAACAAAAUUAUCUUCAGUAUCUUCACUUUCUGAUGUAUUUUAAGUAAAACCGCAUCUAAAUGUUGACCACAUAUGAAUAAGUUAAUCAAAUCUAAAUAGAAUAUCAAUUUUAUUUAUCUUUUCCAUUCGUUUUUGUUUUUNNNNNNNUAUAACUACAUAUAUAAAACUCCACAUUUCAACAAGCACAAUCAGAUUCAUUUAAUCAAAACAUCUCAAUCUUUCAAACAAAACAUUAUGUUUUCGCCUAGCUAAAACCCCAAUAACAUCAAAACCUUGUUCCCGGAUAUCAACUAUCACUCAAUCAAUCUUAUUUAUUCACCUGCAAAUUACCAUAUUUUUGUCCAUUGCUCUACAUUUGUAUCAAUUUUUCCUCAUCGAUACUCUUCUCAAUCGCAAUUCAUGUGAUACCCCAAUCCAGUUUGCAAUCCCAAACCUACUUCCAAUUACAAUCCCAACCUGUUCUCAAGUUAAAGUCUUUUGAGUCGGUUCACAAAAUCCAACUCGAAAACUGUUCAAGGAUUUUGGAGUUAUGUCAAAAGCAAGCAAAACUUUCUAGUUAACUCUUAGGAAAUUUCAUGCCACAAAUCAGACAAUUCAUAUGGAUAAUAACAUCUAGCCCGAUAUGGAUAUCAAAAGAUUUGACUAUGACUUCCCUAGAAAGUUUUGCUUUUUUUACAAACAGAAAAUUAUUAAAAAAAAUAGAAUCAAGGUUCAAAAACCAACUCAAAAGGUUUAAAUCUAUGAUAAGUUCAAGUUAGGGAUGGAAAUUCGUUUUGGGUUAGAAUUGGAAAUAGGAUAGGGAUUAGAAAUUUACUUCGGGGUAUUUGCACAAAUAAUGAUUCAGAAGGGUAUUGAUUUGGAAAUUGACUUAAAUAUGAAAUCAUAGCCAAAAAAUGGUAACUUGCGGGUGAUUUUGUAGGAUGAUUUAAUGAAAUCACAUUAUUGGUGUUUGAAGAUUUUUUCUUGUUUCAAAUCGAGGUUUUUAUUUGGUUAGCUAAAAACAUGUUGUGUUUGAAAGAUUAAAAGAUGUUUUAAAUGAAAAAAUAAAAUUGUUUGGUGAAAUAUCGAAUUUAGUAUGUGUAUUUUGACCUAACCGGAUCAAAUCAGAUUCAAAACCGGUUACACAAUUCAAAACCGAUCCAAUCCGAAACCGGUUUCACUAUUCAAAACCAGAUUGGGUCAAAACCAGUUUUGAUCAAACCGGAUCGGAUUCAAAACCGGAUUUUCAAUCGGAUCCUAAUCCUACAUUUCAAAUCGGAUUUGAUACCGGAUCACAAACCGGAUCCAAAUCUGCCCAAAAUCCGCUUAAAACCCACUAAAAUUGGUUUAAACCGGAUUAGAAUCGGAUUCAAAUUUUGACCGGAUCCGGAUCGGAUUUUGACCGGAUUCGGAUCAGAUUUUGACCGGAACGGAUUCUUGGUGACGUAAACGAAACCGGAUCGGAUUCGGAUUCGGGUUUUGUGCAUCUCUAAAUUGGUUGAUAUUGUGAGAUGCCUCCAGCCUUAUAGAAUACAAGGAUAGAGCUUCUGGUUUCAAUGAAUGAUAAAGUGGAUAACAAAAUCGAGCAAUGUGGAUGCAAUGAAAAUCAAAAGCCAAUAAAUAUUCAAAUGCAAAAAUUUAGGUUACCAAAAUAUUUGGCAACGUAAAUGUAGAAGAAAACGCAUCUAAGAAAUACUUUCCCCAUUGUUUUCUUCACUAUGAAUCAAAUUGCAAAGAUGACAGUCUGAUUAUCAUCAUCGAUGCUAAUUCCAAUCCCACAAACAUCUAAAACCUAAAACGUUCAGAUAUAAAAGCAAUUUAAUGAAACCAGGAUAUAGAAGAAUCGUGAAUACAACUCGUAUAAAAAAACAAAAUGGAUCUAAGGAAAAUCAACUAAUCAUUACGUAGAGGGAAAUAAAAUACGUGAUAGAUAUUAUAUAAAUAAAGGAUCUCAGGAAGUUUAAACUAUCAUCAAAUCCGAUUAAGGAAUUUACAGAUAGAUAACGCAGUUUCUUCAUAAGCAUCAUCGAUCCAGCACUUGAAUAAUUAAUCAACAUAACAUUUAAAAAAUUUGUAACAAAAUAAAAGGCAAGUAAAGAAAACAGGACAGAUUGAGAUCAACAUUAGUAGCAUACGAUCGACUUAAGAACGGAUCCUGAUGAUUUCCUGAUGAUUUUUUUAUGAUAGAUUUAAAACGCAAGUUGUAUACUUAUAACGGCAGCAACAUCACCAUCAUACAGGGACUAAGAACCCUAAUGGAAAAACAUCGCAUUUACAGGGCCAUAAAGGCCAAGAAUGGGCCACACGUCUUCUUCUAAAUUCUAAACUCUAAAGUCAUCCAAAAACAGAUCGGUUUUAAUAAACAAGUAACAGCAUCUCAGAAAUACUUUCCCCGUUGUUUUCUUCAUUAUGAAUCAAAGUGCAAGGAUGACGAAGUCUGAUUAUCAUCAUCGAUGCUAAUUCCAAUCCCACAUAAACAUCUAUAAACUAAAUUGUUCAGAUAUAAAAACAAUUUAAUGAAACCAGGAUAUAGAAGAAUCGUGAAUGCAACUCGUAUAAAAACACAAAAUGGAUCUAAGGAUAUUCAAUUAAUCAUUACGUAGAGGGAAAUAAAAUACGGGAGAUAUUAUAUAAAUGAAGGAUCUCAGGAAGUUUAAACUAUCAUCAGAUCCGAUUAAGGAAUUUACAGAUAGAUAACGCAGUUUCUUCAUAAGCAUCAUCGAUCCAACACUUGAAUAUUUAAUCCACAUAACAUUUAAUAAAUUUGUAAUAAAACGAAAGACAAGUAAAGAAAACAUGACAGAUUAAGAUCAACAUCAAGUAGCAUACGAUCAGCACCACCAUUAUAUGGGGACUAUGAACCCUAAUGGAAAAACAAUGCAUUUACAGGCUGUAACGGGACAGAAUGGGCCGCGCGUCUUCUUCUCCUAAAUUCUAAACUCUAAAGGCAUCCAAAAACAGAUCAGUUUUAAUAAACAAGUAAAUAAAUUGAUAUAUAUUUGGCAACGUAAAUGUAGAAGAAGAAAAAGCAUCUCUGAAAUACUUUCCCCGUUGUUUUCUUCAUUAUAAAUCAAAGUGCAAGGAUGACGAAGUCUGAUUAUCAUCAUUGAUGCUAAUUCCAAUCCCACAUAAACAUCUAAAAACUAAAUUUGUCAGAUAUAAAAGCAAUUUAAUCAAACCACGAUAUAGAAGAAUCGUGAAUACAACUCGUAUAAAAACACAAAAUGGGUCCGAGGAAAAUCAACUAAUCAUUACAUAGAGGGAAAUAAAAUACGUGAUACAUAUUAUAAAAAUGAAGGAUUUCAGGAAAUUUAAACUAUCAUCAGAUCCGAUUAAGGAAUUUGCAGAUAGAUAACGCAGUUUCUUAUUAAGCAUAACCCAGUUUCUUAUUAAGCAUAACGCAGUUUCUUAUUAAGCAUCAUCGAUCCAGCGCUUGGAAAAUUUUAUCAACAUAACAUUUAAAAAAUUUGUAACAAAACAAAAAACAAGUAAAGAAAACAGGAUAGAUUGAGAUCAACAUCAAGUAGCAUACGAUCGACUUAAGAACGGAUCCUGAUGAUUUUUUUUUGAUAGAUUUAAAACGCAAGUUGUAUACUUAUUUGAGCACCAACAUCACCAUUAUACGGGGACUAUGAACCUUAAUGGAAAAGACCAAAACCAUGAACCCUAAUGGAAAAGACCAGAAUGGGCCGCCCUUCUUCUUCUAAAUUCUAAACUCUAAAGUCAUCCAAAAACAGAUCGGUUUUAAUAAUAAUAAUAAUAAUAACUAGAAAAAAUCCGUCGCGCCGUUGGCGCAGGGUCGAAAAAAUAGUCUAAAUGGCAAUGUACUUUUCUUGAUUUUUUUGCAUUCACCUUCAAAAUAGAUCAGACAAUUUAAAUUUUUUUUGAACUUUCUGGAUUGGUUCCAAACUAAAUCAGAAUAUUCUAAUAAAACAAACUUAAUUUACAAUUUCAGUAAAAUGUAGACGAAAAAUCAUUUUUUUAAUGUCAAAAGAAUCCGCUAGAAACCAAACCUGUUUCAUAUAAUAAUUCCACAACCUUCUUCGCCUCAGUCACUUCUUUCUGCUGCGGUUUUACAUGCAGCCUGCAAGCAACAUUAACACACACAUAUGGAGACGAGAGGGAUACCCGCGGCGAGCAGGGAAGGGAUGGCGAGACAACAGAAGCAGCAGCGAUGGAAGAGAACGCAAGCAACUGAACUGAGGCGUUGUGUGUAGAUGGAGGCGAUAUUUAACGUUAGGGCAAGGGGUAUAUUGGUCAAUUUCUUUAAAGGGAG